ACAUGCAAGUCGAGCGAACAGAUAAGGAGCUUGCUCCUUUGAAGUUAGCGGCGGACGGGUGAGUAACACGUGGGUAACCUACCUAUAAGACUGGGAUAACUUCGGGAAACCGGAGCUAAUACCGGAUAACAUUUAGAACCGCAUGGUUCUAAAGUGAAAGAUGGUUUUGCUAUCACUUAUAGAUGGACCCGCGCCGUAUUAGCUAGUUGGUAAGGUAACGGCUUACCAAGGCGACGAUACGUAGCCGACCUGAGAGGGUGAUCGGCCACACUGGAACUGAGACACGGUCCAGACUCCUACGGGAGGCAGCAGUAGGGAAUCUUCCGCAAUGGGCGAAAGCCUGACGGAGCAACGCCGCGUGAGUGAUGAAGGGUUUCGGCUCGUAAAACUCUGUUAUUAGGGAAGAACAAAUGUGUAAGUAACUGUGCACAUCUUGACGGUACCUAAUCAGAAAGCCACGGCUAACUACGUGCCAGCAGCCGCGGUAAUACGUAGGUGGCAAGCGUUAUCCGGAAUUAUUGGGCGUAAAGCGCGCGUAGGCGGUUUCUUAAGUCUGAUGUGAAAGCCCACGGCUCAACCGUGGAGGGUCAUUGGAAACUGGGAAACUUGAGUGCAGAAGAGGAAAGUGGAAUUCCAUGUGUAGCGGUGAAAUGCGCAGAGAUAUGGAGGAACACCAGUGGCGAAGGCGACUUUCUGGUCUGUAACUGACGCUGAUGUGCGAAAGCGUGGGGAUCAAACAGGAUUAGAUACCCUGGUAGUCCACGCCGUAAACGAUGAGUGCUAAGUG
rnacentral:rRNA from 1 species